GAGAGAUCCAACAGGCUGAAAUCAAGCAAAAUAGGUAAUGAGAUGGGCUCAGAAUAUGUGUCUUUAGAAGAUCUUGCUCCCUUGGCUAUGGAUAAGAUUGAGGCACUCUCCUUUGAGGGAUUAAGAAUACAAUCUGGCUUGUCAGAUGAAGAUGCAGCCUCAAGCAUCAGUGCAGAGUCUAUUGGUGAAAUUUCAAGCUUCCAGGGAAAGGGCAUCAAUUUCAGUGGGUCCCUUGGUUUGGAGGGAGCUGCUGGUUUACAAUUGUUGGACAUAAAGGACAGCAGCAAUGAUAUUGAUGGAUUAAUGGAUCUGUCACUGACUCUUGAUGAAUGGAUGCGGCUGGAUUC
rnacentral:misc_RNA from 1 species